ACAAUAAAUAUAGCGCCAGAACUCUUCGGAGUUGACGAGGACCAGAUUUAUCGAAUAUUCGGCGGAUGAUCUGGAGGUAUGAUGCUACCUGAACGAUGGGCAAAACAAGAAGCAAUUCUUGCACAAAUUCCAUUUGGCAUCAUUCA
rfam:Kandleria vitulina DSM 20405 Scaffold5, whole genome shotgun sequence.